UGAAGGCUUGUAUGAAUGGUUGGACGAGAUAUUAACUGUUUCAUUUUAAUUUUUUUUUGAAUUUAAUUUUUUAGUUAAAAAGCUAAAAUUUAUUUAAAAGACGAGAAGACCCUAUAAAUCUUUAUAUUGGAAUUAUUAUUAUUAUUUAGAUUUAUUUUAUAAUAAUAAUUAAUAAUAUUUUAUUGGGGUGAUAUUAAAAUUUAUAAAACUUUUAACUUUUAAUUACAUUAAUUUAUGAAUAAAUGAUCUGUUUUUAACGAUUAAAAAUAUA
rnacentral:rRNA from 1 species